GACGAACCGUGCGAACGUUGUUCGGAAUCACUGGCUUAAAGCGUGUGUAGGCGGAUCGUUAAGUGUCUUGUGAAAUCCCACCGGCUCACCCGUGGAACUGCUGGCAUACUGGCGAUCUUGGGCCAACUAGGGCAACUGGAACAAGCGGUGGAGCGGUGAAUGCGUAGAUAUCGCUUGGAACGCCAAAGGUGAAAACAGGUUGCUGGGGUUGUGCCGGACGCC
rnacentral:rRNA from 1 species